AUUGAACGCUGGCGGCAGGCCUAACACAUGCAAGUCGAACGCGUGGCGGACGGGUGUGUAAUGUCUGGGAAACUGCCUGAUGGAGGGGUAUAACUACUGGAAACGGUAGCUAAUACCGCAUACCAUCAGAUGUGCCCAGAUGGGAUUCGCUUGUAGGUGGGGUAAAGGCUCACCUAGGCGACGAUCCCUAGCUGGUCUGAGCGGAUGACCAGCCACACUGGAACUGAGACACGGUCCAGACUCCUACGGGAGGCAGCAGUGGGGAAUAUUGCACAAUGGGCGCAAGCCUGAUGCAGCCAUGCCGCGUGUAUGAAGAAGGCCUUAGGGUUGUAAAGUACUUUCAGCAGGGAGGCGUUACCCACAGAAGAAGCACCGGCUAACUCCGUGCCAGCAGCCGCGGUAAUAC
rnacentral:rRNA from 1 species